CGAGCGUUGAAAAGCUCGGGGAUGACUUGUGGGUAGCGGUGAAAUUCCAAUCGAGCCCGGAGAUAGCUGGUUCUCCCCGAAAUAGCUUUAGGGCUAGCCUCAAGGUGAGAGAUACGGAGGUAGAGCACUGAAUGUCCUAGGGGGUAUUGCACCUACCGAAGACUAUCAAACUCCGAAUGCCGUCAUCUUAUACUUGGGAGUCAGACUGUGGGUGAUAAGAUUCAUAGUCGAAAGGGCAACAGCCCAGAUCGUCAGCUAAGGUCCCUAAAUGUAAGUUAAGUGGUAAAGGAUGUGGGAUUGCACAGACAACCAGGAUGUUGGCUUAGAAGCAGCCACUCAUUCAAAGAGUGCGUAAUAGCUCACUGGUCGAGUGAUCCUGCGCCGAAGAUUUCCGGGGCUAAAACUUACUACCGAAGCUACGGCAUCAGUAAUGAUGGGUAGGGGAGCUUCCCAUACGGGUUGAAGCAUGACCGUAAGGACAUGUGGACAGUAUGGGAGUGAGAAUGUUGGC
rnacentral:rRNA from 1 species